CGAAAGCCUGACGGAGCAACGCCGCGUGAGGGAGGAAGGCUCUUGGGUUGUAAACCUCUUUUGUUAGGGAAGAAGCGAGUGACGGUACCUAACGAAUCAGCAUCGGCUAACUCCGUGCCAGCAGCCGCGGUAAUACGGAGGAUGCAAGCGUUAUCCGGAAUUAUUGGGCGUAAAGCGUCCGCAGGUGGUUUUUCAAGUCGGCGGUCAAAGACCGAAGCUUAACUUCGGAAAGGCAGUGGAAACUGAAAAACUAGAGAUCAGUAGGGGUAGCGGGAAUUCCCAGUGUAGCGGUGAAAUGCGUAGAGAUUGGGAAGAACAUCGGUGGCGAAAGCGCGCUACUGGGCUGAGACUGACACUGAGGGACGAAAGCUAGGGGAGCGAAAGGGAUUAGAUACCCCUGUAGUCCUAGCCGUAAACGAUGGAGACUAGGCGUAGCUUGUAUCGACCCAAGCUGUGCCGAAGCUAACGCGUUAAGUCUCCCGCCUGGGGAGUACGCACGCAAGUGUGAAACUCAAAGGAAUUGACGGGGGCCCGCACAAGCGGUGGAGUAUGUGGUUUAAUUCGAUGCAACGCGAAGAACCUUACCAGGGCUUGACAUCUGUAGAACCCCGAUGAAAGUUGGGGGUGCCUUAGGGAGCUACAAGACAGGUGGUGCAUGGCUGUCGUCAGCUCGUGUCGUGAGAUGUUGGGUUAAGUCCCGCAACGAGCGCAACCCUCGUCCUUAGUUGCCAGCAUUAAGUUGGGCACUCUAGGGAGACUGCCGGUGACAAACCGGAGGAAGGUGGGGAUGACGUCAAGUCAGCAUGCCCCUUACGCCCUGGGCGACACACGUACUACAAUGGUCGGGACAAAGGGCAGCGAACCCGCGAGGGAGUGCGAAUCUCAACAAACCCGGCCUCAGUUCAGAUUGCUCUGUGCAACUCGAGAGCAUGAAGGAGGAAUCGCUAGUAAUCGCCGGUCAGCAUACGGCGGUGAAUUCGUUCCCGGGCCUUGUACACACCGCCCGUCACACCAUGGAAGCUGGCCACGCCCGAAGUCGUUACCCUAACCGUAAAAGGAGGGGGAUGCCGAAGGCAGGGCUAGUGACUGGGGUGAAGUCGUAACAAGGUAGCCGUACCGGAAGGUGUGGCUGGAUCACCUCCUUAAUUAGGGAGACCUACUUGACUAUCAGCGGGAAAAUUAAGCGCUGAGAAGGCAAAUAAUCCCAAGGUCGGAGCGAGGAUUUGGAUCAAAAGGCUUUCAAACUAGACUGGGUUCGGUGUGAGGCUAGGGGUGAUGAGAAAAAAAUCUCUAAGCCAAACUAAUGGGAGUCUUGACAAGAUGUUUGGGUUAGGAUAGACUAAAAAGAUUUGGGUCAAAAGAGUAGGGACAAAAACUUUGAAAAAAUUCUAGCAACUUAUCUAGUGGAAGGAUUAAACUAGAGAGCCUGCUGGAAGACAAUUCCAGAGGAGAACCUUGAAAACUGCAUAGCAACAAAAAAGCGAGUAGAGAGAUUAACUCAGUUAUCGAUUAAUCUUUCAUCACAGACAAUCUUUGAGUUAAAUCUGGUCAAGCUAAAAAGAGCUAACGGUGGAUACCUAGGCACACAGAGAAUCACUAG
rnacentral:misc_RNA from 1 species